rnacentral:rRNA from 1 species
AUUGAACGCUGGCGGCAGGCAUAACACAUGCAAGUCGAACGGUAACAGGGAUCAGCUUGCUGAUUCGCUGACGAGUGGCGGACGGGUGAGUAAUGUCUGGGAAACUGCCUGAUGGAGGGGGAUAACUACUGGAAACGGUAGCUAAUACCGCAUAACGUCGCAAGACCAAAGAGGGGGACCUUCGGGCCUCUUGCCAUCGGAUGUGCCCAGAUGGGAUUAGCUAGUAGGUGGGGUAACGGCUCACCUAGGCGACGAACCCUAGCUGGUCUGAGAGGGUGACCAGCCACACUGGAACUGAGACACGGUCCAGACUCCUACGGGAGGCAGCAGUGGGGAAUAUUGCACAAUGGGCGCAAGCCUGAUGCAGCCAUGCCGCGUGUAUGAAGAAGGCCUUCGGGUUGUAAAUUACUUUCAGCGGGGAGGAAGGGAGUAAAGUUAAGACCUUUGCUCAUUGACGUUACCCGCAGAAGAAGCACCGGCUAACUCCGUG